UGUGGCGUCCUAAGAGUUACGCUGGCAAUAAGCAGGCAUGGAUAAGUGCUGCUCUGGAAGUACGGAUUUGGGAGAUGGAUGGACAAAUUCUGGACAUUUCAAACAGAUGACCGCACCCCAAAACUACAAUCUAGGGAACAUGAUACACGCACAUCAUGCUUUUUAGAAGGUGAACGACAAAAGCAUUAUCGCGUCAAGGUUAUUCUAGAAUUCUAGUUCUUGUGUUUACAUUCGAGAACUUGUUACUUUCUGCUACUUCACAUCUCGCAGUAAUGGAUGAUUUAGGGUACCGAGGUCUCGGUGAACAAGAAUGGCUAGAUGAAUGAAGACCUUAUGGUGGAAUGCUACAGAAGGCGGCCUGGAGCUGGAUUUUUUAACAAGAAGAAGUCCUUGCUAAUUUUCGAAUCUAUGUCUGCUAAUCUGAUGGAUAGUGUUCAGAAGGCAGUGAACAAGGUUGGUGGUCACGUUGCUGUAAUACCUGGUGGACUUGCAUGCAAACUGCAGCCACUUCAUAUUGCUGUCAAUCAUGCAUUUAAGUGCCUUGUGAGCUGUCUGGCCGGCAGCGGCAUGUGACGUACAGUCAAGCGUGUGAAUGGGUUAUUUCAGCGUGGAACAAUGUGAAACCAGAAAGCAUACAGAAUGGUUUGCGCUAAGCCGGAAUCCUUCCUCCACCUACAAGCCUACAAGUAGCACAAGCAGCAUCUGCAAUCUGAGAGCGAUACCAGUGACGAAAGCGUGCCCAAUAUCAGCGACAGCACAGCAGCACAGGUCGCAAUCGAAAUUACGGAUCAGGUUUUGAAGGAUUUGAAGAAAGAACAAAAGAAGACAAAUCUCACCUCCAACAUUCCGUACUUCAGAAAAUGGGUCCUCAUCCACUUCCUCAUCCACAACGUCACUUCUGGCUCCCAUUGAUGACGUCACUUCUGGUCCUCCAUUGAUGACAUCACCUCCGGUCCUCCUCCAAUAAAAUCACUUCCGUCCCCCAUUGAUGACAUCACUUCCCAUAUUACAUCAUUUCCUGUAUAACCAUUUCCUGUAGUCAUUUUCUGACUGUAUUAAAAACGACGAUCACCCAUCCUUUGAUGUUGAAUGUUUGAUGUUUUUUCAUCUUUUGACCAGCAAUAUUGCACCACAUCAAUAUAUGGGGCAAUUUCCCAACUCUUUGAAAGUGUUUUGUGAAGUAAUUUAUCACAACACAUAAAUGAGGAAGCAGAGUGUACACAAAAAGAACAA